rnacentral:rRNA from 1 species
GAAAUGCGAUAUGUAAUGUGAAUUGCAGAAUUCAGUGAAUCAUCGAAUCUUUGAACGCACCUUGCACCCCUUGGCAUUCCGAGGGGCACACCCGUUUGAGUGUCGUGAAAUCAUCAAAAGACCUCUUUCUUUUCGAAAGAGAUUUUUUUGGACUUGGAGGUUUGAUGCUUGCUUACGUUUUCGAAAGCGAGCUCCUCUUAAAUGAAUUAGUGGGGUCUGCUUUGUCGGUCCUUGACGUGAUAAGAUGCUUCUACGUUUCGGAUCGGGCACUGUUGCUCGGACACCUGCUUCUAACCGUCUCACAGACAACGAUGGUGCUCCGGUCACCAACCAAUCAUCUACAUUGGUUGGGAGGCUGGACCCACGAAACCUUGACCUCAAAUCGGGUGAGACUACCCGCUGAACUUAA